rnacentral:rRNA from 1 species
GUCUAAAGCCAUGCUACCCUGAAUAAGCCUGAUCCCAUUCGAUCUCGGAAGCUAAGCAGGGUUGGGUAAGGUUAGUACUUGGAUGGGAGACCACCUAGGAAGACCAGGUGCUGUAGGUC